GUAAAUUGAGGCGAAUAUAUUGAGAAAACUCACCUUGUCCGAAAGAGAAUUACAUGGCUAUCAAAAUGUCAUGCCAGGGACAACAACAUUAAGGGUCAUCGUUACUUGGUGAGGAUGAAGUGGAUGAGAGAGGAAGUUGAGAAG